rnacentral:rRNA from 1 species
UACAGAGGGUGCGAGCGUUAAUCGGAAUUACUGGGCGUAAAGCGCGCGUAGGCGGCUUUGCAAGUCGGGUGUGAAAUCCCCAGGCUUAACCUGGGAACUGCAUUCGAGACUGCAUUGCUAGAGUAUGGGAGAGGGAAGUGGAAUUUCCGGUGUAGCGGUGAAAUGCGUAGAUAUCGGAAGGAACACCAGUGGCGAAAGCGACUUCCUGGACCAAUACUGACGCUCAUGUGCGAAAGCGUGGGGAGCAAACAGG